rnacentral:pre_miRNA from 1 species
UGGCAAGAUCAUGGCAUAGCUGAGCUGGUACUCCGCUAUACCUGUUCUUGUUCAA